UACAGAGGGGGCAAGCGUUGUUCGGAAUUACUGGGCGUAAAGGGCGCGUAGGCGGCCUGUUAAGUCGAACGUGAAAUCCCCGGGCUCAACCCGGGAACUGCGUCCGAUACUGGCAGGCUUGAAUUCGGGAGAGGGAUGUGGAAUUCCAGGUGUAGCGGUGAAAUGCGUAGAUAUCUGGAGGAACACCGGUGGCGAAGGCGGCUCACUGGCCCGUAACUGACGCUGAGGUGCGAAAGCGUGGGGAGCAAACAGG
rnacentral:rRNA from 1 species